CAGAAAAUAUUUUAAGUAAAAUAUUGGCUUUGGAUGCUAAAGAUGAGUUUAUCUUUUCUGA
rnacentral:tRNA from 1 species